UGCGUAGGCGGCUUUUUAAGUCUGACGUGAAAGCCCAGGGCUUAGCCUUGGAAGUGCGCCAGAAACUGGAAGGCUAGAGUGCCGGAGGGGAGAGUGGAAUUCCUGGUGUAGCGGUGAAAUGCGUAGAUAUCAGGAGGAAUACCGGUGGCGAAAGCGACUCUCUGGACGGUAACUGACGCUGAGGCACGAAAGCGUGGGGAGCAAACAGGAUUAGAUACCCUGGUAGUCCACGCUGUAAACGAUGGGCACUAGGUGUCGGGGGUAUCCACUCCCUCGGUGCCGCCGCUAACGCAUUAAGUGCCCCGCCUGGGAAGUACGGCCGCAAGGUUAAA
rnacentral:rRNA from 1 species